CAUGGCCUUAGAAUGUAAAAAUGAAUGGCCACUUCCAGGUAUGGCUGAGAAGGGUGAAAAUGCAUGCACCCACAGACACACACACACACCGUGGAAAUGAGGAAAAGUUACUUCUCUCUGUUGUAAAUUUAAAUGCAGUCCAGAGUAGUGAAGGCCGUUUGUAAGGUCUGCUGAGCUAAUGGAUUCAUAAUGACUUUUAAAGCUUCACUCGCUGGAGAUAACAACAGUGUCCAAGAAACAACAGUGUCCAAGAAACAGGACUUUCCCUCAAAGAGCUUACUGGGGAAGCCAGCAAGACCAGCAGACAAACACAGGCAAACAGAGCACUGACACCACCUGGCAAGAAACAGUGAGCAGCAGUAGUAUCUCUUCACAUGAAGAUUUCUUUAACUGGAAUCCCAAAUCCAGAUCAAAUGGACUAAAUUCCACAGUGCAGUGGGGAUCUUCACAUUGAGGGAGAUUUAACUCCACCUUUCGUUCAUCGGUUCAAUGAUUUGAUAGCAUGAUUAUGGUGCUGAGCAUUUAUCUUUGUCUAAUCGAUAGAUUUCUUGGGAUCUAAAGAUGCAUCUUAUGGUGAUAUAGACAAAAGAGGCAUUUAUGGAGUCAGCCAUGGGAGAGCAUAUCAGAUUGUGCAAGAGCAAUAAUAUAUGGAAGUGAGCAGCAUGAGUGCUGCACUGGGGGAGAGCCUGCUGAAGCUGCUUGAAUCUCAACACUGUCAUACCCGCCAUCUCAUUAUCUACAGCCACAUCUAAAACCCACAUGAAAUACCAAGUCACACGCGGCUCUGGGAAAGACAUUUUACAGAGACCAUCUUAUGAGUUUUUAAUCUGCCUCCUGAGAACUUACAAUCUAAGAAAUAGAAAACUGAUUCCAGUAAGCAUGCCCAGAAUAUGCUAGCAGCAAGAUUAAAACAUGAAACUAUGAAUGUUAAGAAGAACAAUUUUUAAAAAAUCAUUGGACAUCAAACCAAAACAAAUCAUGGUGCCUCCACACAAUGGGAUAUUCCUCAGCAGUAGAAAGGAAUGGACUACUGAUCACGCAGUAAUGAUGACGAAUGUCAAUGUAAUUAUGCCAAGUGAAAGAAGCCAGGCAGAAGUAAAUCUGACAGACUUUAUGAAGCUAUUAUACCUGCAGUGUGGAAGAGUUUUGUGCAAAUAUGAAGCCUUUGAAGAUUCAGGGACACACAACUCAAACUCA
rnacentral:lncRNA from 1 species